UACGGGGGGGGCAAGCGUUGUUCGGAAUUACUGGGCGUAAAGGGCUCGUAGGCGGCCAACUAAGUCAGACGUGAAAUCCCCAGGCUCAACCUGGGAACUGCGUCUGAUACUGGAUGGCUUGAAUUCGGGAGAGGGAUGCAGAAUUCCAGGUGUAGCGGUGAAAUGCGUAGAUAUCUGGAGGAACACCGGUGGCGAAGGCGGCAUCCUGGACCGACAUUGACGCUGAGGCGCGAAAGCCAGGGGAGCAAACGGG
rnacentral:rRNA from 1 species